GUCUUCGUGGCGCAACUGGUUAGCGCGUCUGACUGUUAAUCAGGAGGUUGACAGUUCGAGCCUGUCCGAGGACG
rnacentral:tRNA from 1 species